GACUCGAUGGCUCAAUAGGUAUAGAGCGGCGGUCUAGAUACCCGAAGAUGCGAGUUCAACUCCGACCCGCUCGAGCCA